rnacentral:rRNA from 1 species
UACGGAGGGUGCGAGCGUUGUCCGGAAUCACUGGGCGUAAAGGGCGCGUAGGCGGCCUGAUAAGUAGGGGGUGAAAUCUUGCGGCUUAACCGCAAGGCUGCCUUCUAAACUGUCAGGCUAGAGCACAGUAGAGGCAGGUGGAAUUCCCGGUGUAGCGGUGGAAUGCGUAGAGAUCGGGAAGAAUAUCAGUGGCGAAGGCGGCCUGCUGGGCUGUUGCUGACGCUGAGGCGCGACAGCGUGGGGAGCAAACAGG